AAUCCAUGCAUCAGACAGUUUCAAAGUAAUUCUUUAAUCGUUCCCAAGCUUCAUAUAGCGUUUCAUCCUCCACUUGUCGAAAAGAUGUGAUGUCAUUUCUAAGCUU
rfam:Gossypium arboreum cultivar AKA8401 contig_2470_15, whole genome shotgun sequence.